rnacentral:tRNA from 1 species
GGGGAAGUGAGCCAACCUGGUAUGCUGUCAGCUUUGGGAGCUGGUUAUCCCGGUUCAAAUCCGGGCUUCCCCA